rnacentral:lncRNA from 1 species
GCAGCUCUCAGUCUCUGUAAUUCCCAGCAGUAGGAGCUCUCGUUUUUCAUAGAAGGGUGGUGGUUCUUCAUUGGUUUUUUCCCCUCUCUCUUUGGAAGGCAAUUGGCAUAGCAUGGGGCUGUUCCUGAGCCUGGAAAAACACCCAUAAAUCGAAGAAGGAGCUGCUGAAACGAAGCAGAAAAGCUGGACAGAUUUUCGGCC